UACAGAGGGUGCGAGCGUUUGUCCGGAAUCACUGGGCGUAAAGGGCGCGUAGGUGGCGCGACAAGUCAGUGGUGAAAGUUCGACGCUCAACGUCGAAUCGGCCACUGAUACUGUUGGGCUUGAGCACUGUAGAGGCUAAUGGAAUUCCGGGUGUAGCGGUGGAAUGCGUAGAGAUCCGGAAGAACACCGGUGGCGAAGGCGGCCUGCUGGGCAGUUUUGCUGGACACUGAGGCGCGACAGCGUGGGGAGCAAACAGG
rnacentral:rRNA from 1 species